GCGGUUGCGAGCAAACCACCGCCGAUCACGCCAGCUUGUCCAACCGCCAGCAAGCAACCACAAAUCACCAAGAACUGAAAAACAAAGGGUAAAAAGACGAUGAAUCGUUUCAGUGCACCGUCAUGCCAACAUCGUUUCUUUAUUCGGUUUCGUAGUUAAACGGCGGGCUUUUUCAGACUCUUCGUAACGUUAGAAACGUUGCUUGGUAUGGUAGGAGCUGCUUUCUUCACCGACUGGAAACGACAAACGAAUUGAAUGCAUCUAGUGGAUUUGUCAGCCUAUUUAUACGUAACCUCUUGUAAUCCUGUCCAGAUAGUUAACUUGAAAUAUUUUUUCACCAAAAACUUGGUAUCAAGUGUCCGUCGACCAAAGACCAGCGUAUUGCAUAGAAGGUUUGCAACGAACCGGCAUUGCAACACAUACAUAUGGCUAGAGAAAAUUUGAUAUCGUAAAACUCAAGUAGCAGAUUGCACUGUGAUCUUUCUAAAGAAGAUUUUUGCUAUUCGACUAGCACGAAACGAAAUCGAUAACCAAACUACCAGUGAGACAAAGAAAUGGGGAAGGUGGAAAUGAAAAAUACUAAUUAAACGCGUUAGAGAAUGCGCAUAAUUUCGUUAGCUUGUGUCGUUAAAUGUGUGUUAUAACAAAACACCGAUAUGUAAAUAUACACCGAUUGAAAAGUAAAAAACAGACAGAUACCCUGCGCAAUUACUCAAUGUGAGUCUAUCUCAAAUUGCAACCGAUAUGUCUUGUUAUCCAGGUAUACUAUAGAAUUACAAGCUUAUCCAUUGUACAAAGAAUCGUACGUUUGACAAAUAUCGCGUAGGAUAUACAUGGAUGAUAGCGAACUAUUGAAAAGAUUGUUGUAAUCUUUAUGGCUGAUGAUUAGCGGUUCGUGUCUCAAUCUAUUGAUUGGGGUUAGGUUACAUUCAGGAUCGUAUAUACAAUAUUACUGUUAGAAAAUUCAAACUGACUUUAAUGCUAUUCAUUCGUCGUUCUUUCCAAAUUUCAAAGACGUCCAAGUCAACCCUGCUACGAUCCUCGAAUAUAUACGUAUACACUACGCCAAGAAAUGGAAAGAUCUUUAAAUUUUGAUCGAAAACUUGUCGAUAUUCGAACCACUGUAACUUUGUCAAUAAGAAUCGUAUAAUACUCUACUUGGGCUCGUUUCAAAGGACGAAUCGUCUACUUUCACGCCCUUAAACGUUAAUUUUGUCGAAGAUUCUUUUUUGUUGCGAAAUAGAGUAGGAAAUUAGUUAUUUGUUUCCCUUUUCAAAUUUUAAUUUCGUAUUAUUUAGUAGUACAUAUGCACUUUUGUAUGAUUACAAAAAUUUUAUACUAUGAAAAUAAAACGAAGAACCUUGCCAAAGGCACUUUAUUGGGAAAUAAUGUGUCAAUACUUUUUGUAACAUCUGUGUGCAUUUCAAUGUAUAGUAGAAAGAACUGAUGCUACAAUGAAUGAGAUUCAAGAAUCAAUUAUUUCGUUCUAACAUACCCUGCUGUAUGUAUAAAGAUGUGAGUAUUUUGUCUAUUUCAAUUAAGUUACCUUAUCUUGAAUCCGUUAAUAAAGUCAUAUUUGAUUCCAAGUAAUUUGGAAAAAAUUCAGCGAAAACGUGAAUGUAAGUAGCUUCGCAAGAUCAAAAAUAACAAAAAUGGGAAACGAGGGCGUGGAGAGUAGAAGGGAUAGAAGGCGACGCGACGGAAUGAAUAAACAAGUACAAAGUGAGAGGGAACGCGAUCAGACGACCACUGCCGGUUGCAGUUGUUACGCAAUUGACAUUGGCAAAUUGUAACAGAACAAGCACGGCCAAGAACUUCGAGAUUUCAUAAGCACGCCGGAGGCGAAGGAGUGUAUUAUAAUUUGAUUCACAGAGAUGCCCUGCCAGCAAUCUAAAAAAUUGCCUCUUACCAUUGCAAUUGGUUUAAAUUUCUUCUACAUUCAGCAAAGAACAAUGCUACGUUAAGGCAUCACAAGCCUGCAACUCAGUACAAGUCGAAGUUUAACAACCUUACAACACUCCAAUUCUACAAAGGAUUCGAAAAGAAACGAACCUAUUGUCAGUUCGGCCUUUGAUCCACUGCGGCAAAGAUAUUCCAACGCUGAGUAAUCUAUCUUCUUGUCUUGUGGAGCCCAUUUUUAUAAUUUGCCAAACUUUCCCUUUCUUUCGAAUUGAAUCCAAUAAAAAAUAAGAUUUGGUUCCGUUUAAGUUUGCCUAUAUCUUUCUUUUUUCUUUUUUUCUUUUAAUAGAUCACACCUUGAAACAUUGGAUUCAAAAGAUAUCCGACAGUUCAAAGUUGUAAUCUUUUAACAAUUUU